CGGCGGCUGCGCAGUGUGGGCACAUCCGGGCACUGGGGCAGGAUGAGCGCUCCUUUCCAAGAUGGCGGCGGAGGGAGGAGGGAAGGAGAUGAACGAGAUUAAGACCCAGUUCACCACCCGGGAGGGGCUGUACAAGCUGCUGAGCCAUUCGGAGUACAGCCGGCCCAACCGCGUGCCCUUCAACUCGCAGGGCUCCAACCCCGUCCGUGUCUCCUUCGUCAACGUCAACGACCAGAGCGGCAACGGGGACCGGCUCUGCUUCAAUGUGGGCCGAGAGCUCUACUUCUACAUCUACAAGGGGGUCCGCAAGGCUGCGGACUUGAGUAAACCAAUAGACAAAAGGAUAUACAAAGGAACACAGCCUACAUGCCAUGACUUCAAUCACUUAACAGCCACAGCAGAAAGUGUGUCUCUUCUAGUGGGCUUCUCCGCAGGCCAGGUCCAGCUUAUAGACCCUAUUAAAAAAGAAACUAGCAAAUUAUUUAAUGAGGAAAGACUAAUAGACAAGUCCAGAGUAACCUGUGUAAAAUGGGUACCGGGUUCGGAAAGCCUUUUCCUAGUAGCUCAUUCCAGUGGCAAUAUGUACUUGUAUAACGUGGAGCACACUUGUGGUACCACAGCCCCGCACUACCAGCUACUUAAACAAGGAGAGAGUUUUGCAGUGCACACUUGCAAGAGUAAAUCCACAAGAAACCCUCUGCUUAAAUGGACAGUAGGUGAGGGUGCCCUGAAUGAAUUUGCCUUUUCCCCCGAUGGGAAGUUCUUGGCGUGCGUGAGCCAGGAUGGUUUUCUUCGCGUGUUUAACUUUGAUUCGGUGGAAUUGCAUGGUACAAUGAAAAGCUACUUUGGAGGACUGCUGUGUGUGUGCUGGAGUCCCGAUGGGAAGUACAUAGUGACAGGCGGAGAGGAUGACUUGGUGACAGUUUGGUCUUUCGUGGACUGUCGAGUCAUAGCGAGAGGCCACGGACACAAAUCGUGGGUCAGUGUCGUUGCGUUCGAUCCAUAUACCACUAGUGUAGAAGAGAGUGACCCGAUGGAAUUUAGCGGAAGUGAUGAGGAUUUCCAAGACCUCCAUUUUGGCAGAGAUCGAGCCAAUAGCACGCAAUCUAGAUUAUCCAAAAGGAACUCUACAGACAGUCGUCCAGUAAGUGUUACAUAUAGAUUUGGUUCAGUAGGCCAGGACACACAGCUCUGUUUGUGGGAUCUUACAGAAGAUAUCCUCUUCCCCCACCAACCUCUCUCAAGAGCAAGGACACAUACAAAUGUCAUGAAUGCCACAAGUCCACCUGCAGGAAGUGGUGGAACUAACCCAGGAAGUAAUGGAAACAGUAUCACAACACCUGGAAACUCUGUACCCCCUCCUCUUCCACGAUCAAACAGCCUUCCACACUCUGCAGUCUCAAAUGCUGGCAGUAAAAGCAGUGUCAUGGAUGGUGCCAUUGCUUCUGGCGUUAGUAAAUUUGCAACCUUAUCGCUACAUGAUCGGAAGGAAAGACACCAUGAAAAAGAUCACAAGAGAAACCAUAGCAUGGGACAUAUAUCUAGCAAGAGCAGUGACAAACUGAACCUAGUUACUAAAACCAAAACGGACCCAGCUAAAACUUUGGGAACACCUCUCUGUCCCCGAAUGGAAGAUGUUCCCUUGUUAGAGCCUCUUAUCUGUAAAAAGAUAGCACAUGAAAGACUGACUGUGUUAAUUUUUCUUGAAGACUGUAUAGUCACUGCUUGUCAGGAGGGAUUUAUUUGCACAUGGGCAAGGCCUGGUAAAGUGAGAUAAAGUAUGCAGUACCAAAAAUCAGGAUUUAUGUAUUGGCCAAUAUGGAAAACUUUAAUUACAGCAACUCCAUUUUACGUGAAUGAAAGUUGCUGAUGAGUUUCCUGGGUGAGAAAGCUCGAGGUAAGAUUGGCCAGAAGCACCCCCAGGAGAAAUGGCAGUGUAUAACCUAGCAAGAGAAACAUGCUACCACUUUGUAAAACAAAUGCACAUGGAAUUUAUUUAUUUGACUUAUUGUACAGGAAAACUUAGACUUAAAUUAUAACAUCCUUGAAUUUUCUAGUUAACUACAAUUGUAGUACAGUAUCAUGUUUUAGUAUGACUUCUGUUUUAGUGAAAGUACUUAAACAUUCAUGUACUAUAUUUGAGUGAGAUGAGCAGCUAUACAUACUAAUUCUUCCUCAAUGGAAAGGAGCAUUUCAUCAUUACAAUUGAAGUUCAAUUGCUGGUAUUUAAGUACUAUCAAAUAGAUUUCUUUCAACGUGAUACGGUAUCUGUAUAAACUUCAGGGAUGAUUAUAGUAAAACUGAAACACAGCUAUACGACAUCAGGUUACCAUGCUAAAAUUUGAAGCUUUCUGUAAUGUGCAUAAUAGCAAAGUUGCACAUGGCCUACCCCCAUUAUCAGGGUGAAUUAAAGCCUAGUACACUGGUGUGAUAUUUAUAGCAAGGUAUGUGUGUGUGUGUGUGUGUGUGAGGAGGUGUGAAUAGUGGCUCCAGUAAAGCCAGGAGAGAUCAUAACCCUGUAAAGGCUUUAUGAUUAGGAUGUCUGGACUAGGAAAUAACAUGACUUUUACUAAACACUUUCUAGAAAACCCAUGUUCUGAAUUAUCACCUCUUAAAAUUUGAGUAUGUACUUGGAAUGACUGUAUAUGUCUGCCCCUUUAACAACAUAAAGCUACUAAAUUAAUAUUUAAAAUGCUGGCCUGCUUAUGUUACAAUAAUAAAAUUUGUGUCAGUUAAUUUACUGUCAAUUUACAUGUAAAGAUUAAACUAUUUUUUCUGCAUUUUAUGAUUCUGUAUACUGGAGUUUGUUAAAGAUUGACAUGUUAGGUGAUACUGUACAAAAUUGUAUUGACUACCUUUAGUGAAAAUCAAAAGUAAAAUUCAUAUGUAUUUCCUUUUUACACUUCCAUCUAAUUUCUUGACAACUUGAAUAAAUUUCAUAGAGCCUUUCUAACAUGAACUAUUGUUAAUUUAACUGUUGCAAUAAUUAAGCUUUAAGAAGUAUUGUUGGUAUAUUUAUAAUUUUAAGAAGAUCAUGUUUGUUUCAUACUGCUUAUUUUUAGCUGUUCUAUUGUCACUGUUACAGCUGAAGAACUUUACUAAAUACUUGACAUUACAAAAUAACUUGCUGGGGUUGUCCUCUGUAUACUGAUGUUAAAUAAAAAUGUGUGAUUGAACUGUAAA